rnacentral:rRNA from 1 species
UUUAAUUGAAGAGUUUGAUCAUGGCUCAGAUUGAACGCUGGCGGCAGGCCUAACACAUGCAAGUCGAGCGGUAACAGGAAUUAGCUUGCUAAUUUGCUGACGAGCGGCGGACGGGUGA